UAGGGAAUCUUCGGCAAUGGACGAAAGUCUGUCCGAGCAACGCCGCGUGAGUGAAGAAGGUUUUCGGAUCGUAAAACUCUGUUGUUAGAGAAGAACAAGGACGUUAGUAACUGAACGUCCCCUGACGGUAUCUAACCAGAAAGCCACGGCUAACUACGUGCCAGCAGCCGCGGUAAUACGUAGGUGGCAAGCGUUGUCCGGAUUUAUUGGGCGUAAAGCGAGCGCAGGCGGUUUCUUAAGUCUGAUGUGAAAGCCCCCGGCUCAACCGGGGAGGGUCAUUGGAAACUGGGAGACUUGAGUGCAGAAGAGGAGAGUGGAAUUCCAUGUGUAGCGGUGAAAUGCGUAGAUAUAUGGAGGAACACCAGUGGCGAAGGCGGCUCUCUGGUCUGUAACUGACGCUGAGGCUCGAAAGCGUGGGGAGCAAACAGG
rnacentral:rRNA from 1 species